UACGAAGGGUGCAAGCGUUACUCGGAAUUACUGGGCGUAAAGCGUGCGUAGGGGGUUCGUUAAGUCUGAUGUGAAAGCCCUGGGCUCAACCUGGGAAUGGCAUUGGAUACUGGCGACCUAGAGUGCGGUAGAGGGGUGUGGAAUUUCCGGUGUAGCAGUGAAAUGCGUAGAUAUCGGGAGGAACAUCUGUGGCGAAGGCGACACCCUGGACCAGCACUGACACUGAGGCACGAAAGCGUGGGGAGCAAACAGG
rnacentral:rRNA from 1 species